GCCAGAUGUGGUGGCGGACACCUGUAAUCCCAGCUACUUGGGAGGCUGAGGCAGGAGAAUCAUUUGAACCCGGGUGCUGGAGGUUGCAGUGAGCCGGAAUUGUGCCACUGCACUACCGCCUGGGUGACAAAGUGAGAUUCUGUCUCAA
ensembl:misc_RNA Metazoa_SRP Metazoan signal recognition particle RNA